rnacentral:rRNA from 1 species
CAGUCGCCGCGGUAAAACGGAGGGUGCAAGCGUUAAUCGGAAUUACUGGGCGUAGAGCGUGCGUAGGCGGUUCGUUAAGUCUGUUGUGAAAGCCCCGGGCUCAACCUGGGAAUGGCAAUGGAUACUGGCGAGCUAGAGUGUGUCAGAGGAUGGUGGAAUUCCCGGUGUAGCGGUGAAAUGCGUAGAGAUCGGGAGGAACAUCAGUGGCGAAGGCGGCCAUCUGGGACAACACUGACGCUGAGGCACGAAAGCGUGGGGAGCAAACAGGAUUAGAUACCCCGGUAGUCCCUGUCUCUUAUAC